UGACGGAAAGGCACCACCAGGCGUGGAGCCUGCGGCUUAAUUUGACUCAACACGGGCCAUCUCACCAGGCCAGCACUCUUGUACGAUUGACAGAUUGAGAGCUCUUUCUCGAUUCAGUGGAUGGUGGUGCAUGGCCGUUCUUAGUUGGUGGAGUGAUCUGUCUGGUUAAUUCCGAUAACGAACGAGACUCUCCCCUGCUAACUAGUCGGUUGGAUCUUGAUCAGCGGGUUGCGUGCCGAGUAACUCUCGCUGUGCGUGGUUCGUAGCUGGGCCUCACGGUUCGUUGCGUCCUCGCGUGGUGUUGGAUGCCUUGGAUCACACUGCACCCCAAGUCCGCCGCUUAUGCUAUAACUCUUCUUAGAGGGAUUCACGGCACUGAAGCCGUAAGAGACUGAGAGCAAUAACAGGUCUGUGAUGCCCUUAGAUGCUCUGGGCCGCACGCGCGCUACAAUGCCGGGCACAGCAGGUGUUUCUCCUUCUCCGACAGGAGCGGGUAACCCUCUGAAAGCCAGUGUUCUUGCAAGUGCUUCCUCCCUCGUGGAGUUGCACAGAGGCGUGCUUGGGCCUGGGACUUGCAAUUCUUUCCCACCAACGAGGAAUGCCUAGUA
rnacentral:rRNA from 1 species